AGCGUACACGGUGGAUGCCCUGGCAGUCAGAGGCGAUGAAGGACGUGCUAAUCUGCGAUAAGCGUCGGUAAGGUGAUAUGAACCGUUAUAACCGGCGAUUUCCGAAUGGGGAAACCCAGUGUGUUUCGACACACUAUCAUUAACUGAAUCCAUAGGUUAAUGAGGCGAACCGGGGGAACUGAAACAUCUAAGUACCCCGAGGAAAAGAAAUCAACCGAGAUUCCCCCAGUAGCGGCGAGCGAACGGGGAGGAGCCCAGAGCCUGAAUCAGUGUGUGUGUUAGUGGAAGCGUCUGGAAAGGCGCGCGAUACAGGGUGACAGCCCCGUACACAAAAAUGCACAUACUGUGAGCUCGAUGAGUAGGGCGGGACACGUGGUAUCCUGUCUGAAUAUGGGGGGACCAUCCUCCAAGGCUAAAUACUCCUGACUGACCGAUAGUGAACCAGUACCGUGAGGGAAAGGCGAAAAGAACCCCGGCGAGGGGAGUGAAAAAGAACCUGAAACCGUGUACGUACAAGCAGUGGGAGCCUCUUUUAUGGGGUGACUGCGUACCUUUUGUAUAAUGGGUCAGCGACUUAUAUUCUGUAGCAAGGUUAACCGAAUAGGGGAGCCGAAGGGAAACCGAGUCUUAACUGGGCGUUAAGUUGCAGGGUAUAGACCCGAAACCCGGUGAUCUAGCCAUGGGCAGGUUGAAGGUUGGGUAACACUAACUGGAGGACCGAACCGACUAAUGUUGAAAAAUUAGCGGAUGACUUGUGGCUGGGGGUGAAAGGCCAAUCAAACCGGGAGAUAGCUGGUUCUCCCCGAAAGCUAUUUAGGUAGCGCCUCGUGAAUUCAUCUCCGGGGGUAGAGCACUGUUUCGGCAAGGGGGUCAUCCCGACUUACCAACCCGAUGCAAACUGCGAAUACCGGAGAAUGUUAUCACGGGAGACACACGGCGGGUGCUAACGUCCGUCGUGAAGAGGGAAACAACCCAGACCGCCAGCUAAGGUCCCAAAGUCAUGGUUAAGUGGGAAACGAUGUGGGAAGGCCCAGACAGCCAGGAUGUUGGCUUAGAAGCAGCCAUCAUUUAAAGAAAGCGUAAUAGCUCACUGGUCGAGUCGGCCUGCGCGGAAGAUGUAACGGGGCUAAACCAUGCACCGAAGCUGCGGCAGCGACGCUUAUGCGUUGUUGGGUAGGGGAGCGUUCUGUAAGCCUGCGAAGGUGUGCUGUGAGGCAUGCUGGAGGUAUCAGAAGUGCGAAUGCUGACAUAAGUAACGAUAAAGCGGGUGAAAAGCCCGCUCGCCGGAAGACCAAGGGUUCCUGUCCAACGUUAAUCGGGGCAGGGUGAGUCGACCCCUAAGGCGAGGCCGAAAGGCGUAGUCGAUGGGAAACAGGUUAAUAUUCCUGUACUUGGUGUUACUGCGAAGGGGGGACGGAGAAGGCUAUGUUGGCCGGGCGACGGUUGUCCCGGUUUAAGCGUGUAGGCUGGUUUUCCAGGCAAAUCCGGAAAAUCAAGGCUGAGGCGUGAUGACGAGGCACUACGGUGCUGAAGCAACAAAUGCCCUGCUUCCAGGAAAAGCCUCUAAGCAUCAGGUAACAUCAAAUCGUACCCCAAACCGACACAGGUGGUCAGGUAGAGAAUACCAAGGCGCUUGAGAGAACUCGGGUGAAGGAACUAGGCAAAAUGGUGCCGUAACUUCGGGAGAAGGCACGCUGAUAUGUAGGUGAAGCGACUUGCUCGUGGAGCUGAAAUCAGUCGAAGAUACCAGCUGGCUGCAACUGUUUAUUAAAAACACAGCACUGUGCAAACACGAAAGUGGACGUAUACGGUGUGACGCCUGCCCGGUGCCGGAAGGUUAAUUGAUGGGGUUAGCGGUAACGCGAAGCUCUUGAUCGAAGCCCCGGUAAACGGCGGCCGUAACUAUAACGGUCCUAAGGUAGCGAAAUUCCUUGUCGGGUAAGUUCCGACCUGCACGAAUGGCGUAAUGAUGGCCAGGCUGUCUCCACCCGAGACUCAGUGAAAUUGAACUCGCUGUGAAGAUGCAGUGUACCCGCGGCAAGACGGAAAGACCCCGUGAACCUUUACUAUAGCUUGACACUGAACAUUGAGCCUUGAUGUGUAGGAUAGGUGGGAGGCUUUGAAGUGUGGACGCCAGUCUGCAUGGAGCCGACCUUGAAAUACCACCCUUUAAUGUUUGAUGUUCUAACGUUGGCCCCUGAUCGGGGUUGCGGACAGUGUCUGGUGGGUAGUUUGACUGGGGCGGUCUCCUCCUAAAGAGUAACGGAGGAGCACGAAGGUUGGCUAAUCCUGGUCGGACAUCAGGAGGUUAGUGCAAUGGCAUAAGCCAGCUUGACUGCGAGCGUGACGGCGCGAGCAGGUGCGAAAGCAGGUCAUAGUGAUCCGGUGGUUCUGAAUGGAAGGGCCAUCGCUCAACGGAUAAAAGGUACUCCGGGGAUAACAGGCUGAUACCGCCCAAGAGUUCAUAUCGACGGCGGUGUUUGGCACCUCGAUGUCGGCUCAUCACAUCCUGGGGCUGAAGUAGGUCCCAAGGGUAUGGCUGUUCGCCAUUUAAAGUGGUACGCGAGCUGGGUUUAGAACGUCGUGAGACAGUUCGGUCCCUAUCUGCCGUGGGCGCUGGAGAACUGAGGGGGGCUGCUCCUAGUACGAGAGGACCGGAGUGGACGCAUCACUGGUGUUCGGGUUGUCAUGCCAAUGGCACUGCCCGGUAGCUAAAUGCGGAAGAGAUAAGUGCUGAAAGCAUCUAAGCACGAAACUUGCCCCGAGAUGAGUUCU
rnacentral:rRNA from 1 species